AGUAAAUGAGCCAUCACAAGCAGAGUUCCUUGCAAGGCUGGCUCCAGGCAAACCUGUUAAGUGGACGUUUCUGGUGGCACCUUCAGUUUUCUCCAGCCUCGUCACACCUGGUGGGCUCCUUCCACUCCUUCAUGCAGACACUGCUGUCCCCCUCCAUCAACACCUUCCUUCAGGGAAGGAGCUGGAUCUCAUCUUCACUGGGACAAUGGCUGCUUUAAACUGUCACAUAUGAAGCAAGCACUCUGUAGAAGAGAAGCUUCAACACAAAGUGCCUUUUGCAGUCUUGUUUUAGAAACACAUUCUUAUAGCUGCUCCUCAUGCAUAAUUCCAUUUUGCUGUCAACCCUUACGACUUCAACAAAAACCAGGAUGUGUGGAGCACCUACUAAGUUCUGAGAAAUGUGCCACGUGCUGAGGAUACAAAGUUCCCAUCCAGGAUCCCACACUACAUUUAACUGUCACACCUCCUUAGGCUCCUCUUGG
rnacentral:lncRNA from 1 species